GGCGGUAAUUCCAGCUCCAAAAGUAUAUAGCUAAGUUGUUGCGGUUAAAAAGCUCGUAGUUGGAUUUUGGGCGCAGGCGGCCGGUCCGUCGCAAGGCGUGUACUGGACGUCCUGGCCUUCCCUCCGGUUCUCCGCCGGUGCUCUUGACUGAGUGUCGGCGGCGGCCGGAACGUUUACUUUGAAAAAAUUAGAGUGUUCAAAGCAGGCUCUCGAGCCUGGAUAAUGGUGCAUGGAAUAAUGGAAUAGGACCUCGGUUCUAUUUUGUUGGUUUUCGGAGCGCGAGGUAAUGAUUAAGAGGGACAGACGGGGGCAUUCGUACUGUGCCGUUAGAGGUGAAAUUCUUGGAUCGGCGCAAGACGAACGACUGCGAAAGCAUUUGCCAAGAAUGUUUUCUUUAAUCAAGAGCGAAAGUCAGAGGUUCGAAGACGAUCAGAUACCGUCCUAGUUCUGACUAUAAACGAUGCCAACUAGCGAUCGGGGGGCGUUACAUUGACGACCCCUCCGGCAGCUUACGGGAAACCAAAGUCUUUGGGUUCCGGGGGAAGUAUGGUUGCAAAGCUGAAACUUAAAGGAAUUGACGGAAGGGCACCACCAGGAGUGGAGCCUGCGGCUUAAUUUGACUCAACACGGGAAAUCUCACCCGGCCCGGACACAGUGAGGAUUGACAGAUUGAGAGGUCUUUCUUGAUUCUACCACAUGGAGCUCAGCUCUGAG
rnacentral:ncRNA from 1 species